rnacentral:rRNA from 1 species
UACGAAGGGGGCUAGCGUUGCUCGGAAUCACUGGGCGUAAAGCGCACGUAGGCGGCUUUCUAAGUCAGGGGUGAAAUCCUGGAGCUCAACUCCAGAACUGCCUUUGAUACUGGAGAGCUUGAGUCCGGAAGAGGUGAGUGGAACUCCGAGUGUAGAGGUGAAAUGCGUAGAUAUCUGGAAGAACACCGGUGGCGAAGGCGGUCAACUGGCCCUAAACUGACGCUCAGGCACGAAAGCGUGGGGAUCGAAACAGG